rnacentral:tRNA from 1 species
GGGGCUGAAGUUCACAGGAAGUGCCUCUGCCUUGCAUGCAGACGGUCCCGGGUUCAAUUCUCGGCAUCUCCA